rnacentral:rRNA from 1 species
GACGAACGCUGGCGGCGUGCCUAAUACAUGCAAGUCGAGCGGAAGUUGGAGAGCUUGCUCUUCAACUUUAGCGGCGGACGGGUGAGUAACACGUGGGCAACCUGCCCUGCAGAUCGGGAUAACUCCGGGAAACCGGUGCUAAUACCGAAUAGUUUUCGCCACCUCCUGGUGGCGUACGGAAAGACGGUUUCGGCUGUCACUGCAGGAUGGCCCGCGGCGCAUUAGCUAGUUGGUGGGGUAACGGCCCACCAAGGCGACGAUGCGUAGACGACCUGAGAGGGUGAUCGGGCACACUGGGACUUGGGCACGGCCCAGACUCCGACGGGAGGCAGCAUUAGGGAAUCUUCCGCAAUGGACGAAAGUCUGACGGAGCAACGCCGCGUGAGUGACGAAGGUUUUCGGAUCGGAAAACUCUGUUGUGAGGGAAGAACAAGUACCACUUAACUACUGGUACCUGGACGGUACCUCACCAGAAAGCCACGGCUAACUACGUGCCAGCCGCCGCGGUAA